AAUCCAGACUCCUACGGGAGGCAGCAGUGGGGAAUAUUGCGCAAUGGGGGAAACCCUGACGCAGCAACGCCGCGUGAGUGAAGAAGUAUCUCGGUAUGUAAAGCUCUAUCAGCGGGGAAGAAGGAAGACGGUACCCGACUAAGAAGCCCCGGCUAACUACGUGCCAGCAGCCGCGGUAAUACGUAGGGGGCGAGCGUUAUCCGGAUUUACUGGGUGUAAAGGGAGCGUAGACGGCGUCGCAAGUCUGAAGUGAAAGCCCGUGGCUCAACCGCGGAACCGCUUUGGAAACUGCGAGGCUGGAGUGCUGGAGAGGUAAGCGGAAUUCCUGGUGUAGCGGUGAAAUGCGUAGAUAUCAGGAGGAACACCGGUGGCGAAGGCGGCCUGCUGGGCUUUUACUGACGCUGAGGCUCGAAAGUGUGGGGAGCAAACAGGAUUAGUACCCCGGACG
rnacentral:rRNA from 1 species